AAACUGUCCCUCCCAGUUCACUGUUUAUUGGACACUACGACCCCGACCACCAUCCUGAUACUGCGAUAGCGAUUUUUCAGUGGAUUUAAUUUCAAGAGCUGGGGCUGUCAAUUCGCUGUGUAUUGGACACUACGACCCCGAUCACCAUCCUGAUACUGUGAUAGCCAUUUUUAAUUGGAUUUAAUUACUGCAGCUUAAACUGUCCCUCCCAGUUCACUGUUAAUUGGACACCAAGACCCCGAUCACCAUCCUGAUACUGUAAAAAUGACUUUAAUUCAUUGGAUCAGUACUGCAUUCAGCUUAAACUGUCUCUCCCAGUUCGCUGUUUAUUGGACACUACGACCCCGAUCACCAUCCUGAUACUGUGAUAGCCAUUUUUCAUUGGAUUUAAUUACUGCAGCUUAAACUGUCCCUCCCAGUUUGCUAUCUAUUGGACACUCAAGACCCCGAUCACCAUCCUGAUACUGUAAAAAUGAUUUUAAUUCAUUGGAUCAGUACUGCAUUCAGCUUAAACUGUCUCUCCCAGUUCGCUGUGUAUUGGACACUACGACCCCGAUCACCAUCCUGAUACUGUGAUAGCGAGUUUUCAUUGGAUUUAAUUACUGCAGCUUAAACUGUCCCUCCCAGUUUGCUGUUUAUUGGACACUACGACCCCGAUCACCAUCCUGAUACUCCACUGUGCAUGCUAUUUUCGGGAUGUUUCACGCCGAGUGCAGUUCGCAACUCGUUGUGUUAGCAAUACCGGAAUAUGGAUGCGGUUCCGCCAGCAAGGACAAGGCAAGUGUGGUUACUCAUGUUCAAAAUGUGGAGUUUGGUUUUUACUUGAAAAUAAAUGUAUUUUACCCUGUAUAAUCUAAGGUUGUGAUGGUUAGAAAAAACAAUUACCAUGCUGUUCAGAGUAGCGGACUGGCCAUGCACGGCACCACGCCCCUUUUUAACUUAGGUCUGGACUCUUGUCUUAGGCCCCAUGUCACAAUGGAAAUUGACAGAAGUUGCCUUAAAUUGACAAAGAUUGCGCAACAUUAUGCAAAGUUGACAUGCAAGUUUAGGCAACUUUGCAUUUGCUUGGGCAACUUUGCGCCAUUUCCGGCAAUUUUGCGCCCAUUUCUGGCAAUUUUCCGCAACUUCCGGCAAUUUUGCGCAACCUUGCGCCAUUUCCGGCAAUUUUGCGCCCAUUUCUGGCAAUUUUCCGCAACUUCCGGCAAUUUUGUGCCCAUUUCUGACAAUUUUCCGCAACUUCCGGCAAUUUUGCGCAACUUUGCGCCAUGUCCAGCAAUUUUACGCAACUUCGCGCCAUUUUCCGGCAUUUUUGUGCAAUUUUGCGCCAUUUCGGGCAAUUUUGCGCAACUUUGCACCAUUUCAGGCAAUUUUGUACAACUUUGCGCCAUUUCCAGCAAUUUUGUGCAACUUAGCACAUUUUCAGGAAACUUUGGAAAAGUUUGCACAACUUAAUGUAAUUUAGAGAAACUUGGUGCAUCUAUGAGAAAGUUUUUGAAACUCUGUGCAAUAUCAAACAUUUUUUAGCAAUUUUUAGCACCUGCACACAAUACAAUGCCACUUUGAGCAGGUUUUCAAAAUAUAUAUAUUGACUUUUGGUGCCUGCUCUCUUUCAUUCGUCUCAAAAUCUUAUCUUGGCAUAUGAUUUCAAAUAUCAGGACUUUAUAAUAAUACUAUUGCAUCUUUCCUGUGGUCAUGCACUUCUGCCAAACAAUCACAUAGUUGAACAUCAUCUUUGAAACUCUGUAUUCAUACAUGUACUUCAGUCACAGAGUAUGAGGACACCAAGAAUGGUGCAAUGUCAGAUGUGCAUGUAUAUGAAAGAUUUCUUUAAUUUUUUUUAUUAAUUUUUUAAUCCUCUAGCCCUCUAUAAUAUUUUGUUCAUAUCUAAAGGGAUCAAGGAGAAAAUAUUAACAUUCAUGUGGUUCCAAAAUCUCCAUAUAUGCAAUACGGUAAAGUGGGGGAUGAUGCUGUGGAACGGAUCACCCACCUUUUAAAUUCUUUGGGAGAUAAUUACAUGGAACUCUAGCAUUAACUAAUUAAAUAUACUAUCGCAAAUCUAACGAUGACAUGCAAUGCCAGGAGUAUUUUAUGUGGUACUAGUGAACAAAAUAAAAAGACCUGCUUGCAAAAAUAUUUUGUAAUGGAAGAAACAAUUUAUUAUACUUAAAAAUGUGAUACAUGUGAUAUGACUGCUGGAUUUUGUUUACUACCCUUCCUCUAACUGUAUUGAACAGUUCGUCGGCAUUGUCUCUUAAUGACAUAAACCAGUUUUGGCAAAAUUGAUCAUGAAGUAUAGUGGGGGGGGGGGGGGUCAGGAAAAAGCAUUUAUCAUAGUGAGAUAUAACUUCCAUAAUUACACACAUUAAGAAGAUUUUUGUGGCACUGAAAAUGGAGAAUUAAAUAUUGCUGACUUAGAAGGAACUUUUGUCCUGUGGCCAUUUUCACCAUUAACACUUGUGUAAUAAAACACUCGCCAUGAGUCCCUUAAACUAUGUGCUUCCUUUAACUUAAUCAUGGUUAAGAGAUUCCCUUAAGGGUACAGGAUGCUUUCUUUGUAGCGCAGCUACAAAAAGAUAAUUUUCAUGGUUUAGAAUAGGAGAUUAAUGACAAAUAAACCCUGAAUGCUUUUCUUGGUCAUGGAAUACAAGUCGUACAUUUUGUACACUUUAAAUAAUUUCUUAAUGUAUUGUGGUUUUUCAGUUAUGUGUCAUUUUAUGAAGAUGGUCCAUUUCAACUCUUUUUACAUCAUAAUUGAAGAACCACAAGACCCACAAAAUUGUAACUGGAUAUUUGGAUUCAGCAUCACACCUGAUUUAAAAUCUUUACAAAUUUCACUAUAGCCGAUUAGGACUCGCAAGUUACGAUGAACGACCAAAUCUCCUAUGUCAAAAGGUCCUGUAGCCUUAAGUUUACCUCAAAUUUAAUUUUUUUCCAUUGUCUUAAGUUAUAAUAAGCAUAUUUAGAGCUGGAUUUUGCUGUAAACCCAACUAAAAUUAUUUGAGUUACUGUUGUAAUGGUAUGGCCAAUUUAGUGCAGCUGAAAAUAACAAAAUACAAAGGGAUUUGAACACUGUAACUGGCUAUAUCUCAAAAUCAACACAUCUGACAAAUUACUGAAUUCAUUUGAUCACAUCACCUAUUAAUGCCUUUAUAACCUAAAUUAAUAGUACAAAUGAGUUAUUACUGUAAACAGGUAGAGGCAUGUGACAAAUAUUGAAACACUUUUGCAUUAUAUCCUAAAUUUUCCAGUAGGGAUUAAUGCACAAAAUCUAGUUUAGAUCAUUAAAUCCCCACUCAUGUACUUCAGGGUAGGGAAAACAAAACAAAACAAACAAAAAAACAUUCCAAAGCUUGUAUGUCCCACAGAAUUCAAAACUGGCAUUGAACUAGUUGUGAAUGACCCUAAAGGUCGAAUAUUGAUUCAUAUGUAGAGUACAAAUGCCACUUUUAGGUGCUUUUGGACAUAACUUUUUAUUAUAUAUAUAUAUACAGUGCAUCCCAAAAAGAACUAUACACUUUUGAAAUGGCUACCAAAUAAAGGUAAUAAGAUUCUUGGGUAAAAUGUUUAUAUUUAUAUAAAGCUCAUAUCCUUAACUAUCAUUAUGACACCAAAAAUUCUGAAAAAAACGCAUGCUUCAGUGAGUAAUGCCCACUUUUGUAAAGGACACAAAAAUUACCCUGCGCAGGAAUUCACUAUUCAUUUUGCACGUGGUUAUGAAACGCCAUGAAGGAGUCAAAAUUAAUGAUGGAAUAAAUCAGCAAACAGAGUCAAAAAUAAACCAAGAGUUAAAAAAACAAUCAAUAUUAUGCAAAAAUGUAAUAUUUUACUGUUUUGUUUUCAUAUCAUUGAUUUUUGCCUGUACUUCAAUUUAUUUUUGUCUUUGUUGGUCUUUGCGGACUCGUUCGGUAUUUUCAUGGCUUGUGCGGUAUAUUCUCGUAUCACACUCAAAGCCAUCCAAUAUUAUAUAAAUAUUGGCCAAGAUAUCUCUGGAUAUUAAUUAUCAUUUUAUUUUACUGAAGUCCUUGUUUCUUUUCAGAGAUAGACUUUCAUCUGGCUCAAGGAGUCCUCCUCGUGGAUCAAAGAGUCCUUCAUCACAUAGGAGAAGAGACAGGUAUGCGAGUUUUGAAGUGUUAACAAGAUAUUAAAGGCACGAGACCCAAUUUUUACUGUAGGAAAUUUUCUAACCUAGGUUAAGAGCUACACUAAAAUAGCUUUAUUCUCUCAAGUUUCAUCAAAAUCGCUCCGUUUGGAAGUUAGAUGCAAAAAUGUGUAUGAAAAUGCUCCAUUCAAAAUUACAUUACUUCCGCUGUGGUUAACCACAUUUCUCAAUAAAUAGCAGUUAUUUUGUUCAUAUCUUCUAAUCAAAAUACAUUUCAGGCAUAAAAUUUCACAGGGAUUAUGAGAAAAAUAUCAGCUUUCCAGUGAUACCAAAAUCUCCAAUUCGAUGGGGUAAAGUAGGGGGAUGAUGCUGCGGAUUGGGUCACCCACCCACCCAAACAGGGUGUUACCAUGAUAAUUUGCUCAGUAUUUUUUAUUCUUUUCAGAGGCAGAUCCAGGUAUAAUUCCUCUGGCUCAAGGAGUCCUUCACCACGAAGAGACUGGUAUGUGUAAGGUUACACUCAGGGUUUAUGACAAAACUGUGUGUGUGGAUAGGUACAUGCAAAGCUAUGCAUGUUGUUGUUGUCAUUUUUUUUCCAACUUGAUCAAAAAUCAAAGGGAAACACAUAGGCAGGUCGACAGAUGCAGACAAAACCUUGCUUUAUUAUAAUAUUGACAACUUGCAACAUUCCUCUGACUCAAGGAGUCCUUCACCACCACACAGGAGAAGAGACAGGUAUGUGGGUCCUUGGAGUUCAUAAUAAGAUAAUGCUUUUUUAGAAAAUCAACAUGUGUUUUCACAUCAAUAAAUUAAUGUUAUUAGACCAUAGACCAUUAAUCACACAAGGUUUGUCAUAUCUGAGAUUUUCAUGGUUGAAACAUACAGAAUUUGAUUUUGCCAUUUGCUGUUAGUUGGCAUUAUGCAUUCUGCGUCCAUUAUCUAUUGCUUGCACAUGUAGACAAACAAAGGUGUCAGAAACCUAAUGUCAAUUAAAUUAUGUAUUUCAGCAAGAUCUUCAUAAGUGAAUUUGAUCUUCCAACAGAUCUAUCUUAAAAUUUAACCAUACCUAUAAAGCAGAUUUGAUUUUCCACAGAUGUUACCAUUUAUUAUCAAUAAAAUAGUUUUACUUGCAAAAUGGUGUAGAGUUUCAAGCAGCACACGGCAUCUUAUGUUAGUAUUGAGCAAAACACAUUGGAAGACCCAUCCGAAUGCCGACUCUGAGUUGGUGGUAAUUUGAUUUUUCAAACUAUUAAAAGUUGUCAAUGUUCUCAUUCCAGGUCACGAUCAAGGUUGCAUUUUAGGUCAAGAAGUAGGUCUAGAUCAGUGACACACUCUUCGUAUAGGAGAAGCGGAAACAGGUCACGAUCAAGGUUGCGCUCCAGGUCAAGAAGUAGGUCUAGAUCAGUGACGCGCUCGUCGUAUAGGAGGAACAGAAACAGGUAUUCGUUUUUUUCCUUGUUUGAAAAUUUUAGUGGAAAAUAAUUUUGUAAAACGACUAACCAGCAUAAAGAGGCCCCUGAAUGAUCAACACACACACAUUAGUAAAGCGUUUUAUGAACCAAGUCCCGCGACUCUCGGCUAUUGUGCAAUCGGCACCUAUAUGUCUAUACACACCAAAUUCCUAGAUUGGACCGUAUAGCCUGGUUUAGCGGCGGACAGACUGGACUCCCACGCAAGUUACAUGUGGUCAAUGAAUUUUAAAAGCGAAUGUCAUGAAGAAAACAAAUACUUUAAACAUGCAGGUUGCUUAAAGUAACUGGUAAAACAUAUGCAAAAGUUUUGUUAUACAAAGCAUGAGAGCCUGUUAAUGAAAGGUUGUACAAAUGUAGCCAAAUAAGGAUUUGUAAUUUCACAUAACAUUAGUAAACUUGAUUCCUACAAACUUGUCUAGCAAACUUCUUUUAGGAAGAACAAUUUUCCAGUCAUGGGAUGACUAAUGACUAUUAAAAGUUGUCAAUGUUCUCAUUCCAGGUCACGAUCAAGGUUGCGCUCCAGGUCAAGAAGUAGGUCUAGAUCAGUGACGCGCUCGUCGUAUAGGAGAAACAGAAACAGGUCACAAUCAAGGUUGCGCUCCAGGUCAAGAAGUAGGUCCAGAUCAGUGACGCCCUCUUCAUAUAGGAGAAGCGGAAACAGGUAUUCGUUUUUUUUUUUUUCCUUCUUUGAACAUUUUAUUGGAAAAUAAGUUUGUAAAACAACUAACCAGCUUAAAAGGCCCCUGAAUGAUCAACACACACACACACACAUAUUAGUCAAGCGUUUUAUGAACCAAGUCCCGCGACUCUCGGCUAUUGUGCAAUCGGCCUCUAUAUAAUUAUCUAUAGGGCCUAAAUUGUACACACCAAAUUUCUAUAUAGAUUUGACUGUAUAGCUUGGCUUAGUGACUUACCGACUGCACUCCCACGCGAUUGACACAGGGUUGAUCGUGCGUACAAAUUUUUUCUUCCCCCUCCUCUCACACAUAUUUCCAUUGAACUUAUGGGAUGGUUGCUGCCAUGCCUGUGACUGUUGGGAGGGGUUCAUUUUUGGAUAGCCCUAUGAAAGGGCAGAGGAGGGGAUCUCUUUUAAAAUCAUAGACAUUCCAUGAUUCUAGCAACCUCUUUUUAGAACCUAUCAGUAGAUACACAUGAAAAAUGCUUAUUUAUAAAUUUCAGUUGAUUAUAUGUAUUAUAAUGCACCAUAGGCUACUGCAUUGUAAUAGAAAAUGCAUACAAUGUUUUCUUUUGUCACAAACAACAUGUUCUUGCUUCAGUAUUUCUUAUUUUUUAUGACUUGGCUACGAAAUUAACAAACUUUUGAAAAAUUAAAAUUUUCAUGUGAUCCUCCUCACAGAAUGUGUGAUUGUCCCUUUAACUGAGUGAACAGGUCAAAAAUAAUACUACAAACAAUAAAUUAAGUCAACAUGUAGUAAAGUGUAAGAAGUAGAACUAGAGCAACUGUGCUUCAAAAACACAAAAUAAGGCAACAUACAGUGGUAUAUGAAAUAAAUGGAACUAGAGCAAAAAAAAAUAAAAAAUAAAAUAACGACAGCAAAAUUAGAACAACCGUGCUUCAAAAACACAUGUACAGUAGCGUGAUUUUGCAUUUUCAAAUUAUGCAUGUAUUUGUGUAUUACCUUGCUCCAUAGGCUACUGUUCUAAUUUCUCUCGCAUACAAAAAACAUUUCCUUGCCACUGUGCUUCAGUAUUUCAUUUUAAUGAAUUUGCUACCAAAGCAAUACAAAUUUUCAGUUGAUCCUCCUCACAGAAUGUGUGAAUUAAUUAAUAUCAAUGUAAAACCAUUCUUGCUGUUGUAUAAUAAUUUGAGAUUACAUUCAAAAUAUUGUAAUUAACAAUAAAUAUAAACAUUGAAACACUUGUGUCGUCUUUUUAAAUUAUAACUUAUGUUUGCCAUCAUUUUUUAUUAAACUAUGGACACUUUUUAUAUUCUAUGACACCAAUGAGGUAAAAAAAAAUAUCUACAUCCAAACUGUUUGUAUUUUGAUAUUAAAUUAACCUGGGGAGCGUUUCA